rnacentral:rRNA from 1 species
CGGUGCAACGCCGCGUGAGUGAUGACGGUCUUCGGAUUGUAAAGCUCUGUUGUCAGGGAAGAACAAGUGCCGUGCGAAUAGAGCGGCACCUUGACGGUACCUGACCAGAAAGCCCCGGCUAACUACGUGCCAGCAGCCGCGGUAAUACGUAGGGGGCAAGCGUUGUCCGGAAUUAUUGGGCGUAAAGCGCGCGCAGGCGGUUCCUUAAGUCUGAUGUGAAAGCCCACGGCUCAACCGUGGAGGGUCAUUGGAAACUGGGGAACUUGAGUGUAGGAGAGGAAAGUGGAAUACCAAGUGUAGCGGUGAAAUGCGUAGAUAUUUGGUGGAACACCAGUGGCGAAAGGCGACUUUCUGGCCUACAACUGACGCUGAGGCGCGAAAGCGUGGGGAGCAAACAGGAUUAGAUACCCUGGUAGUCCACGCCGUAAACGAUGAGUGCUAGGUGUUAGGGGUUUCGAUACCCUUAGUGCCGAAGUUAACACAUUAAGCACUCCGCCUGGGGAGUACGGCCGCAAGGCUG